AUUAGCUCAGUUGGUGAGAGCCUGGUGUUAAUAAUGCCAAGGUCAUGGGUUUGAGCCCUAUAU
rfam:Lonchura striata domestica isolate white83orange57 scaffold_51, whole genome shotgun sequence.